AAAAACGCCCUUUUCAGGGCGACAAACUGAAUUUUAUGAAGAGUU
rfam:Lutzomyia longipalpis Contig3176, whole genome shotgun sequence.